GACGAACGCUGGCGGCGUGCCUAAUACAUGCAAGUAGAACGCUGAAGGAGGAGCUUGCUCUUCUGGAUGAGUUGCGAACGGGUGAGUAACGCGUAGGUAACCUGCCUGGUAGCGGGGGAUAACUAUUGGAAACGAUAGCUAAUACCGCAUAACAGUAGAUGUUGCAUGACAUUUGCUUAAAAGGUGCAAUUGCACCACUACCAGAUGGACCUGCGUUGUAUUAGCUAGUUGGUGGGGUAACGGCUCACCAAGGCGACGAUACAUAGCCGACCUGAGAGGGUGAUCGGCCACACUGGGACCGGGACACGGCCCAGACUCCUACGGGAGGCAGCAGUAGGGAAUCUUCGGCAAUGGACGGAAGUCUGACCGGGCAACGCCGCGUGAGUGAAGAAGGGUUUCGGAUCGUAAAGCUCUGUUGUAAGGGAAGAACGAGUGUGAGAGUGGAAAGUUCACACUGUGACGGUAGCUUACCAGAAAGAGACGGCUAACUACGUG
rnacentral:rRNA from 1 species